GUGGGGAAUAUUGCACAAUGGGCGCAAGCCUGAUGCAGCCAUGCCGCGUGUGUGAAGAAGGCCUUCGGGUUGUAAAGCACUUUCAGCGAGGAGGAAGGUGGUGAACUUAAUACGUUCAUCAAUUGACGUUACUCGCAGAAGAAGCACCGGCUAACUCCGUGCCAGCAGCCGCGGUAAUACGGAGGGUGCAAGCGUUAAUCGGAAUUACUGGGCGUAAAGCGCACGCAGGCGGUUUGUUAAGUCAGAUGUGAAAUCCCCGGGCUCAACCUGGGAACUGCAUUUGAAACUGGCAAGCUAGAGUCUCGUAGAGGGGGGUAGAAUUCCAGGUGUAGCGGUGAAAUGCGUAGAGAUCUGGAGGAAUACCGGUGGCGAAGGCGGCCCCCUGGACGAAGACUGACGCUCA
rnacentral:rRNA from 1 species